GUGACCUGCGGAGGGAUCAUUACACAAUAUGAAAGCGGGCUGGACUCCCCCCAGCAGUGCGUUGCUUUGCGGCGUGCGCUGUUGGGGCCAGCCUUGCUGAAUUAUUCACCCGUGUCUUUUGCGUACUUCUUGUUUCCUUGGUGGGUUCGCCCACCACAAGGACAAACCAUAAACCUUUUGUAAUUGCAAUCAGCGUCAGUAACAAUAAUAAUAAUUACAACUUUCAACAACGGAUCUCUUGGUUCUGGCAUCGAUGAAGAACGCAGCGAAAUGCGAUAAGUAGUGUGAAUUGCAGAAUUCAGUGAAUCAUCGAAUCUUUGAACGCACAUUGCGCCCUUUGGUAUUCCAAAGGGCAUGCCUGUUCGAGCGUCAUUUGUACCCUCAAGCUUUGCUUGGUGUUGGGCGUCUUGUCUCCAGUUCGCUGGGGACUCGCCUUAAAGUUAUUGGCAGCCGGCCUACUGGUUUCGGAGCGCAGCACAAGUCGCGCUCUCUUCCAGCCAAGGUCAGCAUCCACAAAGCCUUUUUUCAACUUUUGACCUCGGAUCAGGUAGGGAUACCCGCUGAACUUAAGCAUAUCA
rnacentral:misc_RNA from 1 species